CGGUGAAGUGUCAAACAAAGAAAAAUUUUUAAUCGCAUGUUCUUUAUACAAUAACAGCAUCCAUACAGCUACCAACAUGAAACCACGUGAAAUUUUAUAUGCAGCCAAAAAUGGACAGGAGAGACCGAUAGAAAUGGAACGCCUUGUUGAACUUCGUGACAAGUUGAAGCGAGAGGAUCCGCCAAAACUAAAACAAAACGAAUUGGCAUAUAACCGCAUCCAAGGAGUGAAGUCGAAAAUUAAGGACCGCUACCAACAAGUGCGAGUACGAUCUAACCGGAAACACACGUACAAAGAUAUCCUAAGUCGAAAAUUGCAUAAAGAAAAACUGCGACGAAUCCGAAAGUAACACCACAGAAUCUCUAAUGUGUUUUUUCAUUUGUUUUCUCUUUUUAGAUGACGUUUAUUUGGAAUAUCCUGAUAACAACCACAUUCCUUACUCAGCUAUCCCAACCACAAUCCAUCCACGUCAUUAAUCUCAAACAAAACCCCGGUCUUUUAACCAUAGAAACUGGCAACAGUUUUAUAAAAAAUAGGCAAUCACAGAUUGUUUCAUAUCCUAGAACUGGAUAAUUACGAACCUAUUUUUAGAAAAUUGCUUGCUAAUAUCCAAGGAAUACGGACAUUCUCAAAUUUUACUGAUAUGUUUGAAAUCUUAGAAUCGAAAUAUGGAACCGUUCACAGUUUAUUCAAUAAUCUUCGGCCAAAGCAAAGAAGUAAAAGAGGAUUAUUUAAUUUUCUCGGAACUGGAAUAAAAAGAAUUACAGGAAAUAUGGACCAUAACGACUAUGAACAAAUUUCGAAAAAUAUUUUUGAACUGCAGAUCAAGAACAAAAGACUUAUUAACGAAAACAACGAACAGCUUAAAAUUAAUCUACAACUCCAAAAUAGAAUCAAUUCCAUUAUCAACCGUUUAAAUCAACAA